ensembl:lncRNA
CGGAAUGCCAUUUUAUUUUCCCUAAAUGAAUGAAUAAAAUCAGUCAGCCAGGAAAAAGAAACAGUACAGCACUUGCACGCUGUCCUUCCUCUCCUGCACUUCUUUGCUUCAAGCACAAACUGCAUGCUGGUGCCCAAACGCACCUAAAGGAGGUGGAUGCAGAAGUACUGCUGCAAAUGCACCAAGAGCCAUGUCCCUCUGCCAGCUGGCCUGCACCAGGCAGGUGCAAGGAGCCGGCGAAGCAUCGAGGUCUUUGCUGCUCUCUCCCCUCCUUUGCCAGCUGGGAAGAGGGAGCAUGGCGUGGAGGGGAGGGAAGGCAGCAGGCCUGGCACUUGGCUGUGUUCCAGCUGAGCAGCCUGCCAGCAACAAGCAACCAGCUCACACCCUGUGGAGGCCCGCUGGCCAUCGCUGCUCCACUGAGCUGCCCACCUGCCCCAGCGGUGCAGGACCAAGAAUGAGAACUGCAUCAAACUCACUUCUAAGUAAACUGAAUUAAAUAGCAGGAGUGGGAGCCUGGAACAGCUUCCUGUGAUCAGAGCACUUAGCCAGCAUCACUGCCGAUAAGGAAGCACGAGCAGCGCUGCUUUUUAUUCUCUCUUUGUGGGUUUGAUCUUAUUAUAGAAAACAAAUUUACCAAGCAUGAAUUACCACUGAAAUUCUUAAUGCUUUGGCAAAGAAGAAAAGUCAGAUAUGGAUGCUGGCAAACGCGCAUGGCUGCUAGCGAGAAUGCCUCUCCUCUGCACACUUUUGUCUCCCAACUUUCAGCUAGGAGCUGCUGUGCGAAUUAUUUCAAAAGAUGGGCUGCAGAAAAAGGAUCAAUUAAUCUGCCGAGAGAAUUUCAGAAUCCAUUCUCAAUGCCGCUGAUAGCCGGAGACCCCCUCCCUGCGCUUGGUAAUUACCCCAAUAUUUCCUGCACGCUUGUUUAAACGGCUUACACUCGGGCUGCCUGUGAAGAAGAGCUCUCCGUCCGCUGAUCUGAGGCAGGGGAGAAAGGCAGCUCUCCUUAUCGCUCUGCUUCACUCCAUCUGCAGCCAGCGGGGGGGCCGCCUCCUCAUUGUCCCUGGGACAGGGGACGAGCAGGCUGGGGGACGCAGAUAGAUGUGACACCGAAGGAGAGCAGGACUUUCCUACCGUGCCGGUGCCGAAGAAAACUCAUCACGCUCUUGCGGUUUCAAAGGCAAAUAAGGAGCCCCUUUAAACCACAGGCCUGUCCCUUAAUUAUACAAAUGCAGCGAUCAAAGUUAUUAUCUGUCCUUACAAAGGCUGCAGCUUUAAUUGAAUGGUGUGUUGCUACCUUUGAGAGAAAGCGUUCAAUCUUCGUGGAGAGCAAAGGGACAGGAGGGAGAAAAUGGAAAAAAGCGAGGGAGCAAGAGGAAAGGAACAAGAGAAAGGGAUAUGGCAUUUAACAAGUAGGCUGCUUUAUAUGGAAAUGUAAUGAAUACGGUUGAUAAAAAAGGGGAGAGACAAAAAGUUGUGAAGUUUCAAGCUGUGAAAGAACUUCAAAGUGUAUUCAAAUGUCACAUUGAUUUUUCUUCAAAUCACUAAGUAGGAAGUUUUUCAAAAGAGGAAUAUGAUCCCCUAUUUUAUCCACUAAUGCUUUAUCUACAAAAAGGGGAGAAAAAGCGCAGUGUUUUCCUUUCACAUGAUAUAAUCCCUAUAUUGGAAGUCUUUAUCUUUCUUUCCUAACCAAAGAUUUCUUUGGUGUUUUCGAGAUUUGUGACGUCUUCGCCAUAUUUGCAUAUUGUAAGUUAAAAAGUCUGAAGAAUUUCAGGUCUGAGACCCUGCUCUACAUUGAGCUAAGUGGGGGCAAGCCACACCACAGUGGGACCUCAUUACCACGGUUCUCCAAGCUAAUGAUGGGGCUGCAACCAUACUACUGUAGUCUGAAGAGAAACCAGAGGGUGACAGGCAUUAGGAGCACUGCUGUGUGUAUCUCACAUAGGGCAACCAAGACAUUACGACUUCAUGAAGACCCUGCAGAGCACACCUGCUUCAGAACCCCCUGAUGAAUACCAUCUGGUUCAAGUGAUUUACUACACUUGCAUUUCAUGAGCUGCGCCGCGACAUCCCAAAUUAAGACAAGGAAAAUAUAGUCUGUGUUUCAGGAAAAUCUUUCUGACAGAUCUAUUAGGCUAUGGAGUAAUCUUUCAGUGGGAGUCUCAUUGUCUGAGACAUUUAUAGCAAGACUGGACAAAGCACUGCUAAAAUAUACUGCAGGGGACAAUUCUGCAUUAACAGAAGGGGAGUCUAGAUAUAUGGCUUUGAAAUUGAGCUGGUCAGAAAAAAAUUUAAGUGAACCAUUUUCUGUCAGAAAAUAUGGUUCUGACAAAACUAAAUAUACUUUGUUGAACCAAUGAUUUUGCUGACCAUUAUUUCAGAGAGAGAAAAAAAAGGGGAAUUUUAAUGUCAAAGUGUCAUACAGAAGUUUUUUUUCUGAAUAAAGAAUUUCAUUACUUUCCCAUCAAACAUUUUUGAAAUUCCAUUCCUGUACUACAGAAGUCAAAUUGAAAACAAAAUAUUCUGAAUAACCCCAAAUUUCUAUUCUUCCCUCCAGAACUGUACUUCCUAGAGUAGUACUGAAAUGAUCAAUUUUGUUGCAGUCAAAAAUUAAAGCAAAUUAGAAAUAUCCUCUGUCUUCACCACUGAGUAUUGCCUUCCAACAUGUUUCUGAAAGUUCUCCAUGGCAAAUAUUGCCUCUUUAUGCUCCAAGUCUUUGAUUCAUUUCACUACAUUUGUCCUCUCCCUAUGUCAUUUCAGUGCUUAGUGUCUCAGCUCUUUCUAGAUUAAAAGGAGGAGAGGAAUAUGCAUUUUUCUCUGAGAAGCAGAACUGAAAGUCAGUUCAUGACAGCUUAUAUUUUAAUAGCAAAUAUCUUCCUCAUUCCCUGUGGAGUGGUUUCUUUAUUGCCCUCAGGUUGCUUUGCAGUUUGGUUCUGCUUUCACUGAUGUGCUUUAUCCUUCUUGCUAUAAUAUAAUUGGAAAACUUAAUCAUGGUUGAAAUCACUCUAAAGACAGACGUGGAAAAGCAGUCCAACUCUGAGGGAGACAGGAUUUUUUUUAAAGCUUGGCUGGUGACAAAAUUUCCUGGAAACCCUUCUACCCUCUUCAGGAGUAGGAGACAAGGUUUCUUAUAUUAAAAAAAAUAAUCUUUCAAAAGUUUCAAAGCCUGCUGUUUAUUUUUGAUGUCCUGGGAUAUGGCUGAGUUUAAUAGCUUUGAAAACUACUGUCCUCAGAAGCAGAAAGUGACUAUAUUUGAAGGCUGCUUCAACUUUCUAAAGAAGCCUUCUGAAAGUGUCCUCCUACUUCUGUUGGAACUUGCCUUCUGUUUAGUCACCGUUUGAAGCCUAAUAUCUUCUACAAGCUAGAACAUGAAUUUGCAAAAAGAAAACACUUCUGUACUCCCACUUAGAUGUCUCCCACAGUGUUUUUCUUUUCUCAUGAAAAUUCUCUCUUCUGCUACCAAUGGAAAAUUACCUUCGCUGUCUCAAUUGAGCCCUGGAUGCAUCCCACACACAUCUUGCCUCUUUGAAGAUUAUCAGAAAGACAGGAAGGUUUCCUUCCCACUUUCUGGGAUUCAUCUGUGAUCCCACUGGUGACUGGAAGAGUGAAGUGUUCCCAUCUCCAUCUGCAGAACCGAGACUACAGGCAACUACUACUGCUCAGCAGCACCUUAGCAACUAUGUGAUCAUACCUUGUAAGAGUGAGGUUGUUAAGGUUACCUAGCCACCGCACUUAGUUUUAUGGACUGUUAUGUGCUCUUAAGCUUUUAUAACAAAGAAGGCAUAUGCAAACCAGGUAUUGCCUAUUGCUGCCUUGUGUUUGGACAAUAACCUUCUUACACUCUGUAUCAAGAGGUGUGGGCUUUUAAUAGGGUACAAAGAAAGAAGGUGCUCAGAGGUCUAAUUUGACUGCUUUUUAACAAAAAAGAAACUGAGAAACAGCUACCUUGUAGCUCCCACAGCCUUGAGCAAGAAGCUCUCCGGAGCCUGUGCUGCAGAACAGCAGGGGGAAGGAGAUUUCUGGGUUCUUUCACAGACAGUAACUUUGAGCAAUAAUGUCCCACAUUUUAUCCUGGGGGGAACAAAAGGAAAAGAAAAGUCCCAGGAAAGAGGUGGGAAACAUGGUUGGAAGUUAAUGAAAGUCUUCUAUUCAUAUUACAAAUAGUCAUACCAGUCUGCAAGGAGAGGUUUCUGCCAGCUCCAUCUAUAACACAUAUUGUAGGACUCAUCACAAGGACUUAACGGUACUUAACCCAACAUAAAUGCAUUGCUCUCCCACAUUCACAACGCACACACAGGAUUGGUUUAGUUAGUAUCCAAAUUCACUGCAUAGGUUUUUUUUAUGUGUGUUUUUGUACCCAGGGAAGAAGUGAAAUACAUUGUUGAUAAGUGAAUACAAAUAUAUCGUGCUUGCAUGAAUUCACAGAGGCCUUUUUCAUAAAAACAGCUGUGAUCAUUUUUCAAUGUGGCUGAGAAACCAGAGAUCUUUUCCUAUAGCUCACCGCACUUAGAAGCUAACCUGUGGAUCUCAAGUGACCUGUAAUGUUCAUUUCGGCUUUUGGGCACUUUUCCUGAAGUUUUAAACCUGAUGCUCCAUUUAGGGAAUUUGUCAGUGUACAGGGAGGCCUAAAAUUCACCUGCAGAGGCUGGGGAAAUGAAGCAUGGAGGAAACACUAACAUUUUGAGGGCACAGUGUGCAGAAAAGAUUUAAACUCGUAUUUUCACAGCACACUGUUCUGUGAGAGCGGAGCAGUGAACUUGAUGCAGGGAGGUAUGAUAGAUAUUACACUGUGCUUUCAGGUUUAACAUUGAGAUCAAGCUAAUAGUUACAUUAAAGAAGUCAAGAAUUAAUAUACAAAUAUUUUUAGCACAAACAGUACAGUCUGCCCAUCACAAAAUAUAUGUGCAUAUCUGUGAUAAAAACAACAUUCCAUUAACUUGCUCAUUUCAAAUCCAUCACCCAGAUCUAGUAUUUGAUGAUUAGCUUUAACUAUUCCUAAUAUGUUAGUCUUGCUCACAUCCAUCCAUACAUUGAAAUGAGUAUCCUAGCAUUUAGUAGUAAACACGAGAGAUGGAUCUUCUCCUGAGGUCUGAACUCAUCUUCUUAAACUUUUUCAUUAACAUCUACUCCAGGGCAAAUAUUUCAGAUUUCUGUAGCCUUGCACAGUAUUUCAAUCCUUAAUUAAUAUCAAAUAUUAUUUUUUACUGAACAUUAAACAUACAUAUAUCCACAUAUUCAAUGUUGUUGUCUAGAACAUGCAAGAAAAAGGACUUCAGCACUUCCAAAUGAAAUAUCACAAAAUGCUGAAACAGUAAUGAUUAGAAAAGAAAGCCGACAUGCAAGUGGCACUCAAAUAAGUAAAGAGUGUUAAGAAAAAUGCCCUAGAAGUUUAUUUAGUGGAUCAGGAACCACAUUCUUUUCUCAUCUUUGAUUUAAAAAGUAUAUAUGCAGUCACUUGGCUCACAAAUGCAAAAGUAAACUAAGGUUAACAUUAUCAGCUUCCUUGAAUCUGUAUUAGGAGGCCAAGACUACCGUGAAAACAGUGCAGAGGUAUAAUUGACCAUGUUACCUUCUAACUUAAGGGGCUAAGUUAUUGCCAGAUGAAAGAGCUCAGGCUUUAAAUAACAGCAGUGGUUUCAGAUCUAGGGAAUGCUAUUAAUGUUAAAAGCAAUUAUAAUGCAACUUAAUGACUUUUCCUGUUUUAUUUACUUUUUUAUUUCUAGUAUGUAACAACUUUCAAGAAGGUUACAGAAAAAUAGUCACCUGAAGGCAAAAAAGAAUUUCACGUUGAUCUCACUUUUAAGUAUUUAGUGCUAAAUGGUUAGAAUCUGAUAGCCUUAUACAUGUUAUUCUUUUACUCUGUAAGUACUUCUAAUAAUUCCUACUGUGGAAUAUGUUUGCCUCCGUAAAAAUCAAGAGGAUGGGGAUCUGACAUUUAAAUUCUGCAGGAAAAAAAAAAAAAAACACUGCAGUUUAUUCUGGGAUAGAUCUACUAACUGGUAUUAGUGCUCCCACAGGGAACAAGGGAAAAUAUUUCUAGCUCUUCUUUCAUGGGCAGAUGGGGCUUCAGAUACAUAGCUGACUUGAUGACUGGACACACUGCCAGUAUGGCAGUAUCUUUCAAUAUACCUUAAUUACCAUAAAAGGAAUAUUUUAUUAACAAGCUAAAAAAUUCAUACUUUAUUCUCAUUACAUAGAAGAGGUGAAAACCAAAUGAGAACAUUGCAAGCAACUUGACAAUAGUCACUGUAUUCACUGUUUGUCUACAAUGCAAAUAGAAAACGCAGUACUCAGCAAGCACAUUGUAUAAUUCUCUUCCUAUGUGUGCCUAUUUUCUUCUCCUGUAAUUCCAAUCACUUCUGCAAUGUUACUACCUGAUCACAUAAGGGAAAACUAAAGCUGAAACAAGACCAUUAGGCAUCUUCAUUAAUUUGGAGUGGCAGCAUACAAGUAACCUUAUUUGUUUUAUUUAUGACUUACUAGCCUCUGGUCUCACCUUCUAAGAGAGACUUAGGACAGCCUCUAAAAUACAAGGCUUCUUGAAAGUGAACGUUAGCACUCCUGAGUGAUGCUGCAAUUUGAUUUCUGACUCUGGGUCACAAGACGAUCAAGUGAGUUUCUAUUUUCUCAGUUUCCCAGGCAAGCAGGUCAGGGGGGUCUCCUGUGAGACAGAUUAAACUAGACAAAACUGGAUUGUGCCCUGGUCUGUAUAAAAAUCUGUGCUUGAGAAUCAUAUUGCUAAAAACUAAUGCUAGCCCAAAUAAUUGUAAGGGGUUGGAGAGAUACAGUGUUACCUGUUGAACAUUUUCAUUACUAUAAAUAUGUAGCUUUAUCAAUACAGAAACAUCAUAAAAAUUCUUAUUGGAAUAUUGUCAUGCCACAUUCAAAUUCAUUAUUUCUUUUUAAAUUGCAGUGUUAAAAAUGCUUAAGGUCAUUAUGGUACUGCUUCCUGAUAAUUUUGGUGCUUACAAUAAUUAAAGAGAAGGCAUUAUAAAAGAACAAAACCUAUCCAACCUAUCCCAUGAGGGUCAAAUAUUCAGAAGUAAAACGGGUAUUCAGGUUGCUCAUGGAGCAAUUUAUUGAAGUAGGAAUUACACAUCUACGGAUGUAUCUUCUUCUCAUCUCCCCUGAGCUGGGAUACCCUUGCUGGUAUGCGCACAGCAUAAACCUAGGGCUAUAGUCCUCACUUAGAAAACAAAAAAUAAUAAAUCAUAGCUUUUUUUUUUUUUACUAGCCUAAGGGAAAAAAUGUUAAUAAAUGUUAAAAGCCCAUCAGAAGAUUCUCCCUGGUGCCACUGUCACCUAUUGCUACCAGCAGGCAAGGAAACACUUCAUGCUAAAUCCCAUGCUAAACUCAAUUUCUUGAAUUCUGAACUGCAUUCUCUUAAAUACUAAACUACUUUUGAUCCCAGAAGCAUGUUGACAACAGAAAAAGAAGUCUGAUACAGCUAUAACAUUUUAAAAAAUAGAUUAUUAUCCAAAUACUUUUGAUAUACUGCUAUUUCAAAAUCCACUGAAGGUCAUUAUUAAACAAGAUUUAUAUAUUAAAUAUAUUUAUGGUAAGAUCAUCAUGUAGGUAAGAUAUAAUUAGCUUCAACUUCUUUGCUUUAUGGAGAAAAUUUCAUUAUGGUAUUAGUUGGGUUUUUUUUUAAGCUUCAAAGAUAGAAAAAAAAACCCAACAAGAAUGAAGAGGAAAAAGACUCAUCAGUUUUUUCUUCAUGAGAAAUUACUGAAGCAGAACAUGAACAAGCCUGCUGUUACUUUCAUGAAACAUAUAACGAAUGUGUAGUUCAGACCUAAUUUUUUAAAGAGUUCAAGUUUCAUCUGAUAUUCUUUCUUUGAUAAAUUAUACCGAGAACAUAAAAACUCCUAUACUGGUCAGGAUUAUAACAGGUGGUAUUAUUUUAAAGCUUCAUAGACAUAAAAGUGCUUCAGAGCAGAUUAGAAGGUAUGCACAGAAAUAAUGCAAUUUCAGAACACGAACAAUAGAAUUGAUUUUCAUCAAACUGAGCAAAAUUUUAAUGGCUGAGAUUGGAAAUAUAAUUUAAUAAGACUCAGAACUUCAUCAUUUGGGUUAUAAGUAAAGCCACAAAUUCCUUUGGUGAUACAUCUAGGUAGGUUUCAGAAAAGUGCUCAAGACUGAAUUAGGCAGAUGUGUUUACUUGAAUUAAGAGAACCACAUACUUGAACACGGUGUCUAACACUGAUGAAACUGUACAUCACCCUGGUGCGGAGUGUGGGAUGGGGUGUUUCCUAUAGGCACUGUGGUGUGUUUUUCAGCAACAAAUCUGAACUCAUACAAAUAUUCCUGUGGAUGUCUUACAGCAUGGAAACGUUUUCCCACUAUCUACAGAGCAAAUAAAGUUUAUUCCCUUAAACCUACGUCUGUGUGAUUUCUCCAGAUGGAUUCCAGCCCUGCAUUACACUGAAUGGGACCAAAAUACUGACUUCAAUUAAAAAGCUCCUUUUCAUAACCAACUCUAAAAUCACCCACGCUCCAGAAUUAGAUACCAUUAUUACAGAAAGUGUUAGCAUCAUGGGUCAGAGAAAUGGAUGGGAUUCAAUAAGAGUCAGGAGUCAAUUAGAACUAAAGGUGCUAUUGCAGAUGGUGGACUCACAAAAUUCUCCUUCACACAUACAGACAUCAAGGAGAUGCAUGGAAAAAUGCUUUUUGCUGGAUAAGGUUAUACGGGGAAGUAAAGAACAGAAGAAAAAGAGGGACAUGUAAUUUAAGGC